UACGUAGGCAGCAAGCGUUGUUCGGAAUUACUGGGCGUAAAGAGUAUGUAGGUGGUGUCCUAAGUUUGGUGUGAAAUCUCCUGGCUCAACUGGGAGGGUGCGCCGAAAACUGGGAUGCUUGAGUGUGGGAGAGGAAAGCGGAAUUCCUGGUGUAGCGGUGAAAUGCGUAGAUAUCAGGAGGAACACCUGUGGUGUAGACGGCUUUCUGGACCAUAACUGACACUGAGAUACGAAAGCGUGGGUAGCAAACAGG
rnacentral:rRNA from 1 species